GUCAUGCAUCCUAUUUCUCCUGUUAGAACCGUUAACAGCAUAAGCUCAUCAUCAUGCGUUUGAAGUUCAGAGACUUCUGUUGUGUCUUGUACCUAUUUGCACCAACUUAGCUAUAGCUCCUUUUGCGAGGCUUGUUAAAGCAUUUCCUUUAAAUUAAAGCUGGGACAUUCCGUUUGUUGUUUUUAUUUGGUGGUUUAUUAUGGGUAUUGCUUUCAUUAUGAGCAGAACAUUUUAAACAACUGGUUUUGUUUGCUUACUUUGCUUCCGCACUUCAUAUGUUGAAAAUUCGAGGCUUGAUUUACUUUAGUAUCUCCUAUUUGACUAUUUUACAGAGCAAGAUGAACCUAUUACAUUGUUCUGUUUUCUCUUUAUAUCUUUAUGAAGUUCUCAAGUUCUUAGAUAUUUUUCUCUGUGGGGGAUGUGGAGCUCCAUGUAGAAUACCAGAGUCAGUCUGGUUAUAUGGUUUCAAAUAGAGCAUGACUUAAGUCAUUUGCUUGAAGUCUGGAUGAGAGAUGAGACUGCUUUGGUAAAUUAAGCAUUCCGUGGCUGUGGGAACAUACAAAAGUUCCCAGCGUCGUGGAACCUUUCUUUUUUUUUUAAUGAGCUUAACUUAGUCAUAAAGGAAAAUUCUGCGAUUCUAGGAACUUUUGUAUGUCCUGAAAUUUGUCGAGCUAGAAGUUGAGGAGUUUUUCUAAAGGCGGUGAUCACCUUAAUCAUCACAUUUCCAUUUCUUGGAGAGGAGGGAUAAAUCAGUUGUAACAACAUUAAUAUGGGAAUUUGACUUGAUACAAUCAUGCAUGCGGGGAGAAAUCUGUGAUAAUUGGCUUGGUGAUUCUUUUGUUGGGUGAGAUAUGCAGCUAUAAAAUCUUGUAAGCAUCAGGAGAUAUACUUUGUUUGUUUCUUUGGGAUAGAAUUAAAUUAGUAAACAGGCAAGUAAGUAAUUGCUUGGAUAUUAAUGAGAGAUUGUUCCAAUUUUGAUGGAGAGCUUAUGUUGAAGGAAAC